AUUGAACGCUGGCGGCAGGCCUAACACAUGCAAGUCGAGCGGAGCGGCGGACGGGUGAGUAAUGCCUAGGAAUCUGCCUGGUAGUGGGGGAUAACGUCCGGAAACGGGCGCUAAUACCGCAUACUAUCAGAUGAGCCUAGGUCGGAUUAGCUAGUUGGUGGGGUAAAGGCCUACCUAGGCGACGAUCCCUAGCUGGUCUGAGAGGAUGAUCAGUCACACUGGAACUGAGACACGGUCCAGACGCCUACGGGAGGCAGCAGUGGGGAAUAUUGGACAAUGGGCGAAAGCCUGAUCCAGCCAUGCCGCGUGUGUGAAGAAGGGCUUCGGGUUGUAAAGCACUUUCAGUUGGGAGGCGUUACCUACAGAAUAAGCACCGGCUAACUCCGUGCCAGCCGCCGCGGUAAUAC
rnacentral:rRNA from 1 species